UGCGUAGGCGGUCGGGUAAGUCUGAUGUGAAAUCUCCAAGCUCAACUUGGAAAUGGCAUCGGAUACUAUUCGGCUCGAGGAAUGGAGGGGAGACUGGAAUACUUGGUGUAGCAGUGAAAUGCGUAGAUAUCAAGUGGAACACCAGUGGCGAAGGCGAGUCUCUGGGCAUUUCCUGACGCUGAGGCACAAAGGCCAGGGGAAGCAAACG
rnacentral:rRNA from 1 species